rnacentral:pre_miRNA from 1 species
UCAUCCACCGAGCAGUCAAUCGGACUCUCAAACAGUGGAGGUAUUGUGCCUAAGGUGUCUAUGCUCAGUUUAGCCGAAGGUUUUUGUCUUUCAACUCCGAGGAGAUUCCAACGGGUUCACGGAGUUUAGGGACUGUCUAAUCACCGAGGAAAUGUUUAGCAAUUGGCCUUAGUGGGUUUUGAACCCAUGCCCUUAAAUGACAUUAGUGGGUAAGAACAUCCCAGGCAUAAUACCUCCAUUGUUUGAGGGUCUGAUCGUAGACACUUCAAAGACUU